GAAACUUGGCAAGUGUGUUAUUGAAUGUAUGAACUCGAGGCUAAUGACCUAUUAAGGUGACAACAGGGGGAAGAUCUUUAGGUACAGUUAUCUUUGUCAUACUCCAUUGGAUUAGUCCAUUUGCUACUUUGCAAUCCCUCUACUAGACCUCAAGUAAUCCACAUCACUUCAAGUGACAAUCUAUUCAUAAAUUCUUCUACACCUCGACUGUGCUGGUGAAAAUCAAAGCACGGACAUGCUUCUCCAUUAAUUAUAAUUUUAUUCUUUGUCGCUUUACUGAUGUCUGUUGUUUCACAUUUGUAUUGUUCUACUUGGUUUUACUAUUGUAUUGUUGGUAACGUUUCACGUUUUACAUCUUGCUUGUGUUUUU
rnacentral:misc_RNA from 1 species